UACGUAGGGUGCAAGCGUUUAAUCGGAAUUACUGGGCGUAAAGCGUGCGCAGGCGGUUUUGUAAGUUUGUCGUGAAAUCCCCGGGCUCAACCUGGGAAUUGCGAUGAAGACUGCAAGGCUAGAAUCUGGCAGAGGGGGGUAGAAUUCCACGUGUAGCAGUGAAAUGCGUAGAGAUGUGGAGGAACACCGAUGGCGAAGGCAGCCCCCUGGGUCAAGAUUGACGCUCAUGCACGAAAGCGUGGGGAGCAAACAGG
rnacentral:rRNA from 1 species